UACGUAGGGUGCAAGCGUUAAUCGGAAUUACUGGGCGUAAAGCGUGCGCAGGCGGCUAUGUAAGACAGAUGUGAAAUGCCCGGGCUUAACCUGGGAACUGCAUUUGUGACUGCAUGGCUAGAGUUUGGCAGAGGGGGGUAGUAUUCCACGUGUAGCAGUGAAAUGCGUAGAUAUCCGGAGGAAUACCAAAGGCGAAGGCAGUGUCCUGGCUGGUAACUGACGCUCAGGUGCGAAAGCUAGGGGAGCGAACAGG
rnacentral:rRNA from 1 species